rnacentral:pre_miRNA from 1 species
UCUGAGGUCCUGAUCCAAAGUCCACUGAAGUCAAUGAGUCUUGCCAUUGACUUCAUUGGGUUUUGGAUCAGGCCCUAAUAGA